rnacentral:rRNA from 1 species
AGUCGAGAAGCUUCCGCAAUGGGGGAAACCCUGACGGAGCGACGCCGCGUGAAUGAAGAAGGUCCUAUGGAUUGUAAAAUUCUGUCAGAUUGGGAAGAAAGCCAUGGGGUUAAUACCCUCAUGGUUUGACGGUACCAUCAGAGGAAGCACCGGCUAACUCCGUGCCAGCAGCCGCGGUAAUACGGAGGGUGCAAGCGUUGUUCGGAUUCACUGGGUAUAAAGGGUGCGCAGGCGGCCUGUUAAGUCAGGGGUGAAAUAUGACGGCUCAACCGUCAAACUGCCCCUGAAACUGACAGGCUUGAGUCCGGGAGAGGAAGGUGGAAUUCCAGGUGUAGCGGUGAAAUGCGUAAAUAUCUGGAGGAACACCGGUGGCGAAGGCGGCCUUCUGGCCCGGAACUGACGCUCAGGCACGAAAGCAUGGGGAGCGAACGGGAUUAGAUACCCCGGUAGUCCAUGCCGUAAACGAUGGGUACUAGGUGUUGGAGGAUUCUACCCCUUCAGUGCCGCAGCUAACGCAUUAAGUACCCCACCUGGGGAGUACGAUCGCAAGGUUGAAACUCAAAGGAAUUGACGGGGGCCCGCACAAGCGGUGGAGCAUGUGGUUUAAUUCGAUGCAACGCGAGGAACCUUACCUGGGCUUGACAUGCAGGGGACAGGUGUAGAAAUACACUCUUCUUCGGACUCCUGUACAGGUGCUGCAUGGCUGUCGUCAGCUCGUGUCGUGAAAUGUUAGGUUAAGUCCUGCAACGAGCGCAACCCCUAUCUUUAGUUGCCAUCAGGUUAUGCUGGGGACUCUAGAGAGACUGCCGGUGACAAACCGGAGGAAGGUGGGGACGACGUCAAGUCAUCAUGGCCCUUACGCCCAGGGCUACACACGUGCUACAAUGGUCGGUACAAUGGGCUGCGAAACAGUGAUGUGGAGCGAAUCCCAAAAAGCCGGCCUCAGUUCGGAUCGUAGUCUGCAACUCGACUACGUGAAGUUGGAAUCGCUAGUAAUCGCGUAUCAGAACGACGCGGUGAAUACGUUCCCGGGCCUUGUACACACCGCCCGUCAAGUCAACCGAGUUGGUUGCACCCCAAGUCGCUGAGCUAACCCGUAAGGGAGGCAGGUGCCCAAGGUGUGAUUAGCGAGGGGGACU